UACGAAGGGGGCUAGCGUUGCUCGGAAUCACUGGGCGUAAAGGGUGCGUAGGCGGGUCUUUAAGUCAGGGGUGAAAUCCUGGAGCUCAACUCCAGAACUGCCUUUGAUACUGAAGAUCUUGAGUUCGGGAGAGGUGAGUGGAACUGCGAGUGUAGAGGUGAAAUUCGUAGAUAUUCGCAAGAACACCAGUGGCGAAGGCGGACUCACUGGCCCGAUACUGACGCUGAGGCACG
rnacentral:rRNA from 1 species